CUUAGCUGUUGGAUGCACUUUUGCUGAUGGAUGAACAUAGACAUCACCAAUAAUGCUAGCACUCUUAGUUCCAUCCCCACUUGCCAAAAGUUGAGGGGAGGUUAAUUGAUAUUGGGCAAGAUAUAAAGCAGAACAUUUCAAAGACAUCCCAGGAGUCUUGAUUUGUUCCCAGAAGUCCAUUGUCUCGUAUGUAUACAAUUGCUUCUUUCCAGCAAGAGGUGACAAAAUAUCUUGAUCUAACCUUACAAAAUCUGUAGGAAAACUGGCUCUUGUCACAGACUGAAGGCCGUCAAAGCUGGAUAAAUGAAGUAGAUUUGCUCUGUCUUCCCGAUUAGUGGAGACACCUUGAAUGGCAGUAAAAAUCUCUGGAUUGAAGAUGUAGACACCACAGUUUAUCAAAUCACUUAC
rnacentral:misc_RNA from 1 species